rnacentral:tRNA from 1 species
GAGAGUAUAGCUCAGUGGUAGAGCGUUCGACUCGAGAUCGAGCGGUCCCCGGUUCGAAUCCGUGUGUUUCCU